CCCUAAUUGCCUCUUGUGGGUAUCCAGCGCCUCCUCAUCGUCGGAGCUUGGAUCAGGGAGAUCCACUUCACUGGAUUCCAGUUCCCCUUUCUCAUCGACGUUGAUCGGCUGCUGACCCUUGUUGUGGACGGACUGCCGAUGCAGAAAUUAGGGUAAGUUGUUCUUGUAGCUGUUGAAGUCUUGGUGAAGUGGUGAAGGUCCAUUUGAGGACUACCUUGGGAGUUAUCGAGCAGAGGUUGUUGGAUUGGGAGCUACUGAAUUUCUGUUAAAACCUCAUGGACUCUAUUUCGAGGCGGGCA